rnacentral:rRNA from 1 species
AACGAACGCUGGCGGCAGGCCUAACACAUGCAAGUCGAGCGGGCGUAGCAAUACGUCAGCGGCGGACGGGUGAGUAACACGUGGGAAUAUGCCUUUCGGUUUGGAACAACUCGGGGAAACCCGUGCUAAUUCCGGAUACGCCCUUAGGGGGAAAGAUUUAUCGCCGAAAGAUUAGCCCGCGCCCGAUUAGCUAGUUGGUGAGGUAACGGCCCACCAAGGCGACGAUCGGUAGCUGGUUUGAGAGAACGACCAGCCACACUGGGACUGAGACACGGCCAGACUCCUACGGGAGGCAGCAGUGGGGAAUCUUGGACAAUGGAGGAAACUCUGAUCCAGCCAUGCCGCGUGAGUGAUGAAGGCCUUGGUUGUAAACUACUUUCGCGCGCGACGAUAAUGACGGUAGCGCGAGAAGAAGC